CCUACGGGAGGCAGCAGUGAGGAAUAUUGGUCAAUGGACGAGAGUCUGAACCAGCCAAGUAGCGUGAAGGAUGACUGCCCUAUGGGUUGUAAACUUCUUUUAUAAAGGAAUAAAACGAGGCACGUGUGCCUUUUUGCAUGUACUUUAUGAAUAAGGAUCGGCUAACUCCGUGCCAGCAGCCGCGGUAAUACGGAGGAUCCGAGCGUUAUCCGGAUUUAUUGGGUUUAAAGGGUGCGUAGAUGGGUUGUUAAGUCAGUUGUUAAAGUUUGCGGCUCAACCGUAAAAUUGCAAUUGAUACUGGCAGUCUUGAGUACAGUUGAGGUAGGCGGAAUGCGUGGUGUAGCGGUGAAAUGCUUAGAUAUCGCGAAGAACCCCGAUUGCGAAGGCAGCUUACUAAACUGUGACUGACAUUGAUGCUCGAAAGUGUGGGUAUCAAACAGGAUUAGAUACCCGGGUAGUC
rnacentral:rRNA from 1 species